CCGAGCUGCGCGCCCCCGAGCGCCCCGUGGCGGCGGGGCCCGGGACGGUGCCCGGGACGGUGCCAGCCUUGGGGCUCGGGGGCCCCGGGGGCCAAAGCACCGGGCCAGGGCCGGGGACAGCCGCCAGAAGCGCUGAGGCGCGGGUGGCGGGGAGCGGGUCGGGGCUGCUCGGUGCCCUGGAGGAUUUGGCCGUGGGGUGCUGGUGCUGGCAUCGCACGGACGAGCGCAGCAGCUCGGGCGCCCCUGGGCCCGGAGUGGCCGUGCCCCGGUGCCCUGGCCUCGGGUGGCCCGCCUCGGCCGCGGUGGGCUCCCCGCACCUGGGGAGCCAGCGGAGCAGCCCCCGGGGGUGACUUUAUGUGGGCUCCAGAGGGAAAGCUCGUGGCAGCUGGAGCCUGGAUACCUUCGGACCGUGGGGAAGCCGGGUUGUGGAAGUAGUUCGGGUGGCACAGACAGCCCCCGGUGCAGCCACACGCCGCAGGGAGGGUGGCGGUGCCCACCCCGGGGCCCGGACCCUUCCUGGGCAGCCGCUGCCGGUGGAAGCAGCUAUGAGGACGUGCCCUCCACAGCCCGCUCUCCCCACAGUCCAGUCGUUUCGGCUUGAACAGACGGCCCGUGACAGAAUGUGACAGCUUUCUGACAGCCUGCUGGGAGUCAGAACUGCUAAUUCUCUGGAGGCCGAAACAGAAUGUGGUAGCAGUUGGCUGGUGAAGUGGUUGAGCAGGGAAGAAAAUGAAGACAAGUAAAACUGAAAGUGAGGCAUUUGGAAAAUAGCCUGGUUUAACCCCAUUUUAUCUGAAGCCAGACUUCGUGUGGGCUACUGGGGCUAAAUAAGUUGCUUUUAUGAACAGUCCUAUAUACAAAGUUUUUAAAUUAAUAAUAAGUGAAGACUAAAUGAAUAAAAACUGUUUCUGUCCACAA